rnacentral:RNase_P_RNA from 1 species
AUAAGGAUAUUUGGCCGCGCGGACAUGGCUUAUGACAGUCAGCGUUCGUGAGGCAAAGUCCGGGCUCCGCCGGAAAAGAUGCCGGGUAAUAACCGGGCAGCAUCAGUAAGCUGCAAUGGCUUGUUCAUUGUAAAGCACUGAGGCUGACAGAAAGUGCUUCAGAAAAUAACCGCCCCAAAAGGGUAAGGGUGAAAAGGCAGGGUAAGAGCCUACCGCGUAGUUGGCAACAAAUACGGCAUAAGCAAACCUCAUCUGGAGCAAGAUCAAGUAUGCGGUUUGGUUUUCCGGACUUACACCGCGGGUAGAUCGCUGGAGGCGGCGGGUAACUGCCGUUGCGGAUAGAUGGCCAAGCGAGACUGAGUGUGGCAACACAUUCUUUCUGCGUACCAGAACCCGGCUUACUGUAUCCUUUUUUUG